rnacentral:rRNA from 1 species
CGGGUGAGUAACACGUAUCCAACCUGCCGUCUACUCUUGGACAGCCUUCUGAAAGGAAGAUUAAUACAAGAUGGCAUCAUGAGUCCGCAUGUUCACAUGAUUAAAGGUAUUCCGGUAGACGAUGGGGAUGCGUUCCAUUAGAUAGUAGGCGGGGUAACAGCCCACCAAGACGAUGAUAGGUAGGGGUUCUGAGAGGAAGGUCCCCCACAUUGGAACUGAGACACGGUCCAA